rnacentral:rRNA from 1 species
CCCUUAGAUGUUCUGGGCCGCACGCGCGCUACACUGACGAAGUCAGCGAGCAUGUCCUACGCCGACAGGUGCGGGGAAUCUUGUCAAACUUCGUCGUGAUGGGGAUUGAUUAUUGAAAUUCUUGAUCAUCAACGAGGAAUUCCUAGUAAGCGCAAGUCAGCAGCUUGCGUUGAUUACGUCCCUGCCCUUUGUACACACCGCCCGUCGCUACUACCGAUUGAACGGUUUAGUGAGGGCCUCGGAUUGGUCUCGGCCCGCUCUUUACCGGGCGGCGCCGUUGGUCGAGAAGACGCUCGAACUUGAUCGUUUAGAGGAAGUAAAAGUCGUAACA